UACGUAGGUGCGAGCGUUAAUCGGAAUUACUGGGCGUAAAGUGUGCGCAGGCGGCGAGCAAGUCGAGUGUGAAAGCCCCGAGCUUAACUUGGGAAUUGCGCUCGAAACUACUUGGCUGGAGUGUGGCAGAGGAAGGUGGAAUUCCAGGUGUAGCGGUGAAAUGCGCAGAUAUCGGGAGGACACCGGUGGCGAAGGCGGAUCUCUGGGCCUGUCCUG
rnacentral:rRNA from 1 species